CAAGUCGAACGAAGCACUUUAUUUGAUUUCCUUCGGGACUGAUUAUUUUGUGACUGAGUGGCGGACGGGUGAGUAACGCGUGGGUAACCUGCCUUGUACAGGGGGAUAACAGUUGGAAACGGCUGCUAAUACCGCAUAAGCGCACAGCAUUGCAUGAUGCAGUGUGAAAAACUCCGGUGGUAUAAGAUGGACCCGCGUUGGAUUAGCUAGUUGGUGAGGUAACGGCCCACCAAGGCGACGAUCCAUAGCCGACCUGAGAGGGUGACCGGCCACAUUGGGACUGAGACACGGCCCAAACUCCUACGGGAGGCAGCAGUGGGGAAUAUUGCACAAUGGGCGAAAGCCUGAUGCAGCGACGCCGCGUGAGCGAAGAAGUAUUUCGGUAUGUAAAGCUCUAUCAGCAGGGAAGAUAAUGACGGUACCUGACUAAGAAGCACCGGCUAAAUACGUGCCAGCAGCCGCGGUAAUACGUAUGGUGCAAGCGUUAUCCGGAUUUACUGGGUGUAAAGGGAGCGCAGGCGGUGCGGCAAGUCUGAUGUGAAAGCCCGGGGCUCAACCCCGGUACUGCAUUGGAAACUGUCGUACUAGAGUGUCGGAGGGGUAAGCGGAAUUCCUAGUGUAGCGGUGAAAUGCGUAGAUAUUAGGAGGAACACCAGUGGCGAAGGCGGCU
rnacentral:rRNA from 1 species